rnacentral:rRNA from 1 species
UACGUAGGGUGCAAGCGUUGUCCGGAAUUAUUGGGCGUAAAGAGCUCGUAGGCGGUCUGUCGCGUCUGCUGUGAAAACUCAGGGCUUAACCCUGAGCUUGCAGUGGGUACGGGCAGACUAGAGUGCGGUAGGGGAGACUGGAAUUCCUGGUGUAGCGGUGAAAUGCGCAGAUAUCGGGAAGAACACCCGUGGCGAAGGCGGUUCUCUGGGACGGUACUGGACGCUGAGACGCGAAAGCGUGGGGAGCGAACAGG